CUCAUUUCGUCCAAAUUUUUAUAAAGAACCAUUAACUAGAUUUAGUUUUAUACUGUUUACCCCUUGAUUUUUGGUAUAAUAUAUAAAUUAUCCCUUAUAGUAUACUUAUUAUACUAAAACUCCAUUAUCUAUUUUUUAUACAAAAAUCAAUUUUAGUGUCUGUACAAAAAUAAUGAAUUAGUGUUCUUUAAAUACUCUAAUUUUUAGCAUAAUUAAAUUCUAGUAAAAUUUAAAUAUUUUAAAAGUACUUAUAUUAAUCAAAAUAUUAAAAAAUUUAUAUAAUUUAAUUUUGAAUUGUUAAAAUAAAAUAGAUAGUAUUAUUAUUAUAAAUUUUAUUCCAAUAGAAUUAUAACUUUGAUAAAAAAAUUUAAGAAUCAAAUUAUAUUUUUUUAUCAAUUUAGAUCCUUAAUUACAUUGACUUUCCAAAAACAAGGAAAUUUUAGUGCAAUAAAUAAAAUAUAGGUGGCAAUUUGUAUAUUACACAAAAAAAAAUCAGGAGGCAAAUUAUAUAAAACGAACCCUAAUUAACGAUUCCCUAACAGAAGUUCUAAACGAAAGAGAUUUUUAGAAUAAAAUUACAAAAUAGAAGGAUGAAAAAAUAUAUUUUUUAAAUGUAAAGGGUAACUAGUAUAAUAUGAAAAAACGCAGGGGGGGGGGGGGGGUAAAUAGUAACUACCCCAAUAAAGAAACAUGUUAACCCAAAACCCACCCUCUUACUUCCACUUAAGGAAAGCUGCAAGAUUAGUGCUACCUAGCCAAUCCUAAACCUCCAAAGAAGCAGGCCAAACAAAAUAUAUUGAUUGUAAAUAAAAGUUCAAAAAAGUUUCAGGUUCCACCAAAAAAGGGAGAAAGAAAAGGUUUCCUCAAGAUUCUUCUUUGCUUAGUUUACCAAGAGCUCUUUGCAUUCUUUGCUCAUAGAGUUGCUUUUCCCUAACUUCUUUAGCAGCAAGGGCUUCUUCAUCAAGUACUUGAAUGGGAAACCACACUGGUAACUUCAACCAACCACCUUUCUUUUCUUUGUCCCCAUAUAAGGAUUGUUUAAAGCUCCUCAAUUUUGGUUUUAGCUUUAUAGUUGCAAAAUCCACAGUUGUUCCCACAACAGCAAAGAUAAUUGAGUAACGGAAUGCACCAAAUUGACCACCUAAAACGUCACAAUAAUUAUAAAAAGGAAAAGAAAAGUUAACUAUACAGAGACAGGAAGAUGAAAAGAUGAAGCAGAUGAAUCAAAUAUGAUAUUUAAGAUGUUCAUUGACAUCAAGUUCAAAUGUGACGGAUCCGGAUACACAUCACCACUCAUUGCGGAACUUGCUCAAUC
rnacentral:lncRNA from 1 species